rnacentral:other from 1 species
CGGGCACUGCGCUGUACGUGUCCAUAUCUGUAACCCCCGGGGCUAUACCAACCUCCAGGGAGCUGUCCCUGACCGGGAUCGUGGUCCCGGAUAUACGGCACCCACCUGACUUGUCAGGUUCCGGAGGGUACAACAGCGUCACGGCAGAGGCGGUCCCGCA